CGCAUAGGCGGGACCAAAACCUAAUUCUCAUUUAAAAAUUUAAACCCAGUUUUUUCUUGCUACCAUUUCUGUCUCUCUCUCUCUCUCUCUCAAAAUUCUAGAUCUGAUUAUUCUCUAGGUUUAAAUCCUCCCUUAUGAUGCUGAGAUUUUAGUAGAGAGAUGGAAAAUCUGGUGGGAUUCAUCGGCCGUCGAUUUGAGCUUCAGCUGAGUACAAGACUAAAUCAUCAAGGGUAAUAUUCAUUAUAUAGGCUUCAAUCCCACUGUCUUUAACGGCGAAGAUACAUCAGGAUCUGUGUUAGAUGAUAGGAUUGUUGAAUGGAACCAAGAAUCUGUUGUUUGUAAGUUAGAUGGGGUUUUCAGGGAUGUUGCAUUCAUGGUGUUCGAUAGGAAAAGGCAGGGUUAGCGUCGGCACCGCCUUAUCUGUCUCUGGCACCAAAAAUCAAAAACUUGAGUACGACGCCGCGGUUACCGGAUUGAGUUUUGCAUCAGAAUCUUCAAUGGAACCAAUAGAACUUUUUGUAAGAAUAGAUAUACAUAGGUGGCUUUUAAUUUCGUAGUUUUUUUAUUUAUGAUUUAUGCUCCAUUGGGUGUUCUAUCAUUAAAUUUUUUAUAUGCUAUGGACAUGCUUUAAACCUGGAAAACAUACAAUUUUUAACUUUGUAAUGUCUUGUAACAUAUCAUUUUGGGGUGAAUAAGAGCUGAUUGAUCUAAUGGUAAAUUGUGUAUAUGUGUAUACUGAACGACAUGGUAAACUCUCACUAGGUUUGUUAGGGUUUUGGUGUCAAAAUUUGAGUUGAAGUAUGUUUAAUUGGUAAGUUUAUAUUUGUGUGCAUCAUCGAAUUCUUUCCUGACAGCUGCAGUUGAAUCAUCACCUGUAAGCCUGCAUAUAUUGUGCAUGCUACGCCAUUGGUAAUGGCAGAUUCACAUAGUAAGGAUUGGGUUCACGGAACCAUUGAUUUUAAUUUUUUUUACUAGACACGAUGAAUAUUUUUUGAGUGAACCCAUAGUAAUAGGUUCAAAAGUGUUGUAGUAGUAACCCACUUUUCCAUUGGUCCGAAGGUCCCAGGUUCGAUUCAUGCCCCCCCCCCCCCCCCGAUUAUUAAACUUGGACCUUGCUUGCCUAAAGAAAAAGGACAUAUUUAAAUGGGUUUAUUAGUGUCGUCUUGCGAUUUAGUUUUGUGGCAGGUAGUUUUCUUGGGCGAUUGGUUAAUCAGCAAUGGUUUUCAUCUCGUUUGGCUCUCUUCAUUGGGUUUGGGAUGGCAAGGGUCACCAGUUUUUGGUGUGGGUGCAUUUUGGUCAGUUACACGCUUUGGGGAUAUUUGCAUGUGUUUGGUGUGAGUUUAAGUGGGAAUAUUGUUUGGUUUCAGUUUGCAUCAUAUAUAAAGGGUGCUAGGCGGUAUAUAUAUGUUCGUUUUGAGUGGUUUAAUUUGUGUGGUGUUUUUGGAUUUUUUAAUGUUCCACCUCUAUAGUUCUCUGGCAGAGAGCUGGAUUGCUUUCUGUUUAUCAAGUCUUCAUUCCAUUCAGUCUUUUGCUCCAUUGUUUUUGGCGGUACAAAGCAAUUAUAUUCUUCAACCCAUGUGAUAUUAUGGUAUUUUUUUCUCAACAUUGGAUGGGGCUUCGAAUCAGUCUGUAUUUUCUUAAAGCUCUCAUUGCAGUCCACCAAAUUAGGAAAGUUUUUAUUGCUCUUUAGUCUCAACUUGUAUAUUUAAUUUAUUUCGCAGAGUUCCCAGUUCAUUUACAAUUCUGUGACAUUCGCCACAAAACCAGGUAAAUCCUAAUUUUAAUUACCCAGCUUACACGAUUAACAAACUGGUAUUGAUUAUGCCUCAGUUGAAUCCAAAGGCAUGUUAUACAUAGCAUAUGAGAAAAAGGACCAAAAACAGUUACAUUGGGGCCAUUAUGUUCAGAAAACUGCCUAGGUGUCGUAAGCAAACCUAGGAAUACAGAAAUGCUCAAACAUGAUCCGUAAACUAUAACGUAGGAUUAUUGAAGCUUUAUUGGGUAGAAAAUGAGUUAAACAAAACAGUUUCCGGUUAGCGGAACGCCUUUAAUUUUGACGCGCACUGUACAAUCCAAACAUGUGUUGUAACAUCAGUUAAGCCCGAAAAAGACUAAUAUAACCUAAAUGCAAGAUGUUUUGAGUAAUAACGUCCAAGUGUUCGAGCUUUCGCAUCGGUUGGGUUCGUUUUAAUUUUCUACGCAAAAACGCCUAUAAAAAACGCCCCGUUUUAUGAAUUUUUACCGCACCCGGGGAGCGUUUAAAACCCGAUAACGAACCUACGCUUAAAUAUCAGCUUAAUAUUAUACAAAUUCUGGAAAAUGGCAGCUUUGACUAGUCAAAGAAGGACAUAAGGCCCUCCUUGUUGUCCGAUCACGAGCCACAAACCAAACCAACCACACAAGCACCUUAAUCACCUCAUUUUUGGCCAUAAGUUUCACCUACCUGCUGCUAUAUAAUGCUCUUUAAUCAGUUACAACUGAAUUUUUGGACCAAGAUCUCAAGAACAACACAUUUUGGUAAGAUUUCUUUUGAAUUUUUCAUAAAUUUUAUCAUACUAAACCUCUAUUCAUUUGAUCCAAACAAGGCCAAUCCCAUGGCCAUAAUUUCAGUUUUUAUACCAUAUUUCUUCAGAUAAGCUUUUACAACUGAUUUGGAUAAAAAAAUGAUUAGUUUUGGAUAAAAACGACACUUAUUCGACACCGAAAUCGCCUAACGAAAACUAAUAGAACAAGACUACUAAAGGGGCUUAAUUGAUUAUUUCAGUUGCAUGGUUGUGUUGUACAUGUUAUGUAGGUGCUAUAACCAAAAAAUCUUUGCAAAUGGAUCUUGGAAUCUAGGUCUAACGAGUGAUACGCGGAAAGGUGUGGAGUAGCAUACUUUGAUAGCUUAGUAACCAUGCAAUCUGUGAGUUUCACUAACCCUCUCUUUUUAAUACAUGUUUUACUGUUUUCAUAGAGGGUUCAUUUGAUUAGCAUACCUGUGCACAUGUAAACUGUUUUAUGUUAUUUAUCUUAGUAGACACCUAACAUGCUUAAAUCCCCACAAGCAAGUUAUAAAAUGCCGGUGAAUACUGUGGAUAGUACUAUUUGGCCCGACAAGCCUAGACUGCACUGAAUACAAGGCUAUAUGCCAGUUGCGCAAACACGCGGUCGCACAUAUUCAUAACGAGCUAUGAUUUGUUAGGCAUAGCCACAUGGCGUACUUGGUUAUUGGUUGUGGUUGAUGUUGGCCACGGUGAUUGGAUACUGGUCUCGGCUUAACUUGUAACUCAGAGAGAUUUCAUCACAUGUGCAACAAAACAUUUUCAAAUAUAUUUUGAAAACAAACAAACUUGUGGAACUCACCAACUUUUUGUUGAUGUUUUUCUUUUAAAAAAUAACUUUCAGGACACUACGUGACGACCCCCUUUGUGUUAGUUGCUUGUGAAGUUUAUGUGCGAUACUAUGUGCAUAGAGGCAUGCUACUUAGCUAAAUAAAAUAGUUCAUGGAAACUCGCGUAGUAUCUAGCUAAAAUAUGUAACAGUAAUGUGUAAUAGCGAUACGUAAAGUAAAAAAAUGAUGUAUCAUAUUGUUUAAUUAAUGUUUAAUAGAGUAUCCUUAUAACAAUGACUCAAACCAGAAGUGUCUGUUGCAUCCCUUUUUAUCGUUUCCGCUGCUAGUCGGGGUGUGACAGAAGAUGGUAUCAGAGCCAUUAUUUAUAGAGAACUAGGUUGUCAUUAGAAAACCUAGACUAUAAUCAUUAGCUCAAAAAUUGGCCAUAACCAAUUAAAAUGCUUAUUAGUGUGAUUAUUAUUGGGAUGAUCUGGUCGAGCAAAUAAAUUAUUACGGUCCGGAACGUAAUAACUUAUCUGCUUGUACUUGAGAGUUCCAAGAACGUCACUAAGAGAGGAGUAUUAGAUAAUGUGAAUUUGCGUAUGCAUAUACGUGAAUCUGAUUGUUUGUGUGAAUGUGCAUACUUGUAUAAAACUAUUAAUUGUUUUAGUUGUUAGAAUUUGUCGUCAUUGGUGUCCUUUCGCAGAUAUCAUGUCUGACAGUCGUAGUAGAUCUGAGGAUGAGCCAAUGUUGGAUCCGGAACAGGAGGAAGGCGAUGAGGAGGAGGGUGAUCAGGUUGUCCCUAGAUAAUCUCCGGAUUUAUCCAGAUAUGUGUGUGGUUCUCCACCUCCCCGACACCCACCUGUUACAGGACAGUCUUGUUAUACCCAUGAUGUUAGUGAUGACAUAGUUUCCCAUGAGGAUACCAGUAGUGAGCGUACACUGAGUCACGCACAUAGGUCACCUCCACCUAGAGAACCCACUCCACCACGUAGGUAUUUUCGUCACACUGCACGUCGUAGGGUUCCUACACCUAACCCUGCAUUCUCAACACCCCCACGUACCUAUGAGAGAGGAGAGCCAUCCUAUGUAGCUCGAGGUAUCCCUGUCCCACCGAGAGGUAGAGCUCCUACGCCACCUAGGAUUGAAUGGUUAGGUUUCCUGUUCGAUCGAGUGGUAGAGAACACCAUAGCUCUGACUGAUGAAAUACACCGUAUUAAUGAGAUCUACGAUUACAUUAUAGCUAUGCAGCAAGCAGUUAUAUUAAUGCAUCAGUCUAUGUCAUAUUUAGUUUAUCGCGAUGGUCGUAGAGGGGGCAGAUGCAGCUUUGCAUGGGUGUACUGGCGAUUGUAGUGAUACUGGUAAUGUGGCUGAUUAUGCGUACGUGAGGACAGUAGACAGUGAUAGCAUAUGUAUAUAUAUAUCUUUUGCACCCUUUCAAGAACUAGGCCUGCAUGCCUAUGUCGAGAUUGGGGAUACUAUAUAUAUUAUAUUUCUUUUCGGAUCUUAGUGAUCCUUGUAUGUACGAUGCCUUAGUGGCUAGCUUUUGUUUGCAAUCCUUAGUGGAUUACGGUUGUAUACCGAAUUUUGUCAUGUACAAUGGCUGGUAUGUAUGAUAGUGGUUUCUUUUAUGUGUUAUAUAUAUAUAUGUGUGUUGUUGCUAUGUUUUGGAUGCACAUGUUUGCUAUGUUUUGGAUGCACAUGGUUGCUGAUGUGUGUAAAAUGCAACAUAUAAAAUACAUCAAAUAAGGCAUAAAACUAACCCUUUUUAAGUACUAAUGUUGGAAAAAGAGUGCUUUUGUCUUCCUUUUGU